rnacentral:rRNA from 1 species
AUACGUAGGGUGCAAGCGUUAAUCGGAAUUACUGGGCGUAAAGCGUGCGCAGGCGGUUUUGUAAGACAGUGGUGAAAUCCCCGGGCUCAACCUGGGAACUGCCAUUGUGACUGCGAGGCUGGAGUGCGGCAGAGGGGGAUGGAAUUCCGCGUGUAGCAGUGAAAUGCGUAGAUAUGCGGAGGAACACCGGUGGCGAAGGCAAUCCCCUGGGCCUGCACUGACGCUCAUGCACGAAAGCGUGGGGAGCAAACAGGAUUAGAUACCCUGGUAGUCCACGCCCUAAACGAUGUCAACUGGUUGUUGGGGAUUUAGUUUCUCAGUAACGAAGCGAACGCGUGAAGUUGACCGCCUGGGGAGUACGGCCGAAAGGUUAAAACGCAAAUGAAUUGACGGG